AAGGUACUGUAGAUAGAAGGCACUGUGGAUAGAAGGCACUGUACUGUAGAUAGAAGGUACUGUACUGUAGAUAGAAGGUACUGUACUGUAGAUAGAAGGUACUGUAGAUAGAAGGCACUGUACUGUAGAUAGAAGGUACUGUAGAUAGAAGGCACUGUACUGUAGAUAGAAGGUACUGUAGAUAGAAGGUACUGUGGAUAGAAGGCACUGUGGAUAGAAGGUACUGUACUGUAAUUAGAAGGUACUGUAGAUAGAAGGUACUGUACUGUACAAAGGUACAGUAGAUAGAAGGUACUGUGGAUAGAAGGUACUGUACUGUAAUUAGAAGGUACUGUAGAUAGAAGGCACUGUACUGAAGAUAGAAGGUACUGUACAGUAGAUAGAAGGUACUGUCCUGUAGAUAGAAGAUACUGUAGAUGGAAGGCAAUGUACUGUAGAUAGAAGGCACUGUAGAUAGAAGGCACUGUAGAUAGA
ensembl:lncRNA